AUUGAACGCUGGCGGCAGGCCUAACACAUGCAAGUCGAGCGGAUGAAGGGAGCUUGCUCCUGGAUUCAGCGGCGGACGGGUGAGUAAUGCCUAGGAAUCUGCCUGGUAGUGGGGGAUAACGUCCGGAAACGGGCGCUAAUACCGCAUACGUCCUGAGGGAGAAAGUGGGGGAUCUUCGGACCUCACGCUAUCAGAUGAGCCUAGGUCGGAUUAGCUAGUUGGUGGGGUAAAGGCCUACCAAGGCGACGAUCCGUAACUGGUCUGAGAGGGUGAUCAGUCACACUGGAACUGAGACACGGUCCAGACUCCUACGGGAGGCAGCAGUGGGGAAUAUUGGACAAUGGGCGAAAGCCUGAUCCAGCCAUGCCGCGUGUGUGAAGAAGGUCUUCGGAUUGUAAAGCACUUUAAGUUGGGAGGAAGGGCAGUAAGUUAAUACCUUGCUGUUUUGACGUUACCAACAGAAUAAGCACCGGCUAACUUCGUG
rnacentral:rRNA from 1 species